rnacentral:rRNA from 1 species
AACGUAGGAGGCAAGCGUUAUCCGGAGUUACUGGGCGUAAAGCGCGUGUAGGUGGAUUGGUAAGUUACUUAUAAAAGCCCCCGGCUCAACUGGGGAGGGUCACUCGAUACUGAUCGACUCGAAGGCAGGAGAGGGAAGUGGAAUUCCCGGUGUAGUGGUGAAAUGCGUAGAUAUCGGGAGGAACACCAGUGGCGAAGGCGACUUCCUGGCCUGUUCUUGACGCUGAGGCGCGAAAGCUAGGGGAGCAAACGGG